rnacentral:rRNA from 1 species
AGAACGAACGCUGGCGGCAGGCCUCAAACAUGCAAGUCUAGGGGGUGUAGCAAUACAUCACCGGCGGACGGGUGCGUAACACGUGGGAAUAUACCUUUUGGUUCGGAACAACGCAGGGAAACUUGCGCUAAUACCGAAUGUGCCCUUACGGGGAAAGAUUUAUCGCCAGUAAAUCAGCCCGCGUCCGAUUAGCUAGUUGGUGGGGUAAAGGCCCACCAAGGCGACGAUCGGUAGCUGUUCUGAGAGGAAGAUCAGCCACACUGGGACUGAGACACGGCCCAGACUCCUACGGGAGGCAGCAGUUGGGAAUCUUGGACAAUGGGGAAACCCUGAUCCAGCCAUGCCGCGUGAGUGAUGAGGCCUUGGUUGUAAACUCUUCGACGGGACGAUAUGACGUACCGUAGAAGAGCUCCGGCUAACUUCGCGCCAGCAGCCGC